UUAACUGAGUUUUGUAUGGAAUUGGAUCGUUUGCCGCUAGGGGCGCUGUUCCAACUGCAUACAAAUUUAAGUUA
rnacentral:pre_miRNA from 1 species